GGGAAACAACACAGAGGCUGGGACCAUGAACUACCCCAAGCCCUAGGAAGCACAGGCUCA
rfam:Ailuropoda melanoleuca scaffold2515_5, whole genome shotgun sequence.